rnacentral:rRNA from 1 species
UACAGAGGGUGCAAGCGUUGUUCGGAAUUAUUGGGCGUAAAGGGUGCGUAGGCGGUGCGGUAAGUCUCUUGUGAAAUCUCCAGGCUCAACCUGGAGCCUGCAAGGGAAACUGCCGUGCUUGAGUGUGGGAGAGGUGAGUGGAAUUCCCGGUGUAGCGGUGAAAUGCGUAGAUAUCAAGCGGAACACCGGUGGCGAAGGCGGCCUUCUGGACAGUGACUGACGCUGAGAUGCGAAAGCGUGGGGAGCAAACAGG